rnacentral:rRNA from 1 species
UGGGGAAUAUUGCACAAUGGGCGCAAGCCUGAUGCAGCCGUGCCGCGUGUAUGAAGAAGGCCUUCGGGUUGUAAAGUACUUUCAGCGAGGAGGAAGGCGGUAAGGUUAAUAACCUUAUCGAUUGACGUUACUCGCAGAAGAAGCACCGGCUAACUCCGUGCCAGCAGCCGCGGUAAUACGGAGGGUGCAAGCGUUAAUCGGAAUUACUGGGCGUAAAGCGCACGCAGGCGGUCUGUCAAGUCGGAUGUGAAAUCCCCGGGCUCAACCUGGGAACUGCAUUCGAAACUGGCAGGCUAGAGUCUUGUAGAGGGGGGUAGAAGUCCAGGUGUAGCGGUGAAAUGCGUAGAGAUCUGGAGGAAUACCGGUGGCGAAGGCGGCCCCCUGGACAAAGACUGACGCUCAGGUGCGAAAGCGUGGGGAGCAAACA